rnacentral:misc_RNA from 1 species
AGCAGCCGCGGUAAUUCCAGCUCCAAUAGCGUAUAUUAAAGUUGUUGCAGUUAAAAAGCUCGUAGUUGAAUUUCGGGAUUGGCGCAUCGGUCGUGCCUCACGGGGUAUGAACUGGUGCAGUCAAUUUCUCACCUUCUGGAGAACCGCGAUGUCCUUAAUUGGAUGCCGCGGGGAACCAGGACCUUUACUUUGAAAAAAUUAGAGUGUUUAAAGCAGGCAUUUUUGCUUGAAUACAUUAGCAUGGAAUAAUAAAAUAGGACGGCAUGGUUCUAUUUUGUUGGUUUCUAGGACCACCGUAAUGAUUAAUAGGGAUAGUUGGGGGCAUUAGUAUUCAAUUGUCAGAGGUGAAAUUCUUGGAUUUAUUGAAGACUAACUACUGCGAAAGCAUUUGCCAAGGAUGUUUUCAUUAAUCAAGAACGAAAGUUAGGGGAUCGAAGACGAUCAGAUACCGUCGUAGUCUUAACCAUAAACUAUGCCGACUAGGAAUCAGACGAUGUUAAUUUUUUAAUGACUCGUUUAG